UUGACACAGAAUAUAUUAUAAUGAUAUUAUAAACACGGAUCAGUAUGUAACCUAAAAUAUAAAAGUAUAUAAAUAUAUUAUACAUACAUACAUACGGAUAAUGUCUUGGGACAUAAGGGGGAUGCAAGUCGUAUAGAGAUGGAGAAAAUUUUGAGCAUUAAAAAAAUAUGUGAUCAGGUGUGACUUGAUCUUGACUAAAAAAAAGUUGACUGACGUCCAUUUGACAUGAGACGACACAUUUUUAAAUUUGGCGUUGGUGGACACAAGACUUUUUUUAUAGUACCAAUAUUUUAUUGUUUUGUUUUGUACCCUGUUGCCCUACGCGUCUGUCUGCGUCUAAGUUUUUUCUUUUAAACCACGCAACGGGUUUUAGUGCACUCUUAUAUAAACAAUUUAUUCCCGAAGGUUUAUAUACCUCUUGCGAGGUUGGGCGGGGUCGCUAGUAUUGUAUAAUUAUCCUAUGAUGAAUUGAAACUUUAUUAAUAAUUCCCGGGGAUUAUCUAUAUGAGCAAGCCUACAAUUUACGACCAAAAAUACCUUCUAGGCAAUCGUGGUCUUUGGCGCUGAAAAGGUUAAAGGAAAAAGGAAGGAUUUAGUGGAUUAUCCUGAAAAUAAUUUGGUAAACUGUGGUCAUCAUCAUCAUCUGCAGCCCUCCGUGACCCACUGCUGGGCAUAGGCCUCCUUCAUUCUCCGCCAACCAUUUCUGUCCUGGGCCAUCCCUAUCGUCAUAAACUGAUAUAAACUUGAUUUUCACUGAAGAUCUUACCUGCAUGAAGUCCAUAUUUUAUAAGUCUUCAUGUGUGAAGUGUUCCGAGCUAGAAACAAAAUUAUUUUUAAACAUAUAAGUACUUGAUAAUAGGAGAGCGUCAACAAGGCUAUGCCCCUGGCUGACACGACACCGCGAAAGUGGGGCCAACCGGCCAACACAUUUGAAUUGAUUUAUUUUGAAAAUUCCUUAUCUUUACAUAUAUAAAAAAAACAAAGUCCUCUAUCGCGUCUUUCUGUUCGCAAUAUUGCGAACAAACAGAUGUUUUUGAGUUUAUUUAAACUCAAACACAUACAAUGCAAUAAUAUAAUAUAAUAAAGAAUAAUGUCCCCUUGUCUGUCUCUAUGAACGCGAUAAACUCAAAAUCUAUCGGACAGAUUUUUGUACGGUUUUCACCAAUAGAUAAUAAGAUUCCUGAGAAAAGUUUAGGUGUAUAAUUUAUUACGUUGUUACUUGAGCUAUGUCUAGAUAAAAAUAAAUAUGGUUGUCCCUCUGCCAUGCCGUAGUGGACAAAAUCGUCGUCUCAGUUGGCCUGUGAUAGACAAGUACUAAGGACAGUUAUCAAGUUUAAGUUUAAAAAAUUAUUCCAUCGUGAUGUUCAAUCAAUCAAAUAUGUACUAUAUGCGCCCUGCUAGACAUGCAUUGAUUAUUUUACAUUAUGCAGGUUAUUUACAUACAUAUUUGUUCAGGUUUUUGUGGUGUAACGCCAUUUAUAAUGGUCUCUCUCUCUCUCUCAUCUGAGCGUUUGCAUUUGUGCGAGGAUAAAAAUAAAAGAAAUAAAAAUUACGUGUCAUUGCUAUAGUUUAUUGAUUUAAAAUACAAAAGUUGACCAAUAAGCUUAUAUCCUUUUAUUGUUACAGUGCCUGCGAACUGACAAUCCGAUAGGAGAUAAACAUAGCUCAUAUCACUUAACUGCACCAAACAUUUACACUCCAUGCUGUCACAGUACAAAUAAAUAGGUAUACUAUAUUGGUGGACGUCAGAUUCGCUGAUUGUCUUUAGAGCUGUUUCUUUCUCUGCCAACCACGAUUCAGACAUUAUUAUUGUUAUAAUUAUUUACAGCAGACAGAAUAUAAAAACACAAGCACAAAUUUGCACUUCAACACAUUCAUUCUUUCUUACAUUCAGUGCCAAACAUUUUAUAUUAUAAUACAUAUUUACUACGCCAUAUUUCGUAGUACGGCAUUGGCUGUAAAGAGCUCAACUCUUAUGAUAUACAUUACUACCUGUACAAAUUUACAAUAUUCACAGUUGACUUGAAACAAGAAUAUAAUGGAAGUAGUAAGAAAUAGUUCAUAAGAAAUAGGACAAGCUUAUUUAUAUCACAAAUGCUUGGCUUGGCCACAAAUUGUAAGAACAGAAUGCAAAAAAAGAUACAUCGGCGAAUGUUAACUGCUGGAAAUCUAAAGUUUGUCCCCCGCCGGUAAAGUUCGCAAAAGUUAACAACUGACAAAGAAACAUCUAACGUCCACAUAUAUUACAUACUCAAGCGCAAACAUCUAGGGCCAUCUCGAGUAAUGGAUUUAGUUAGAACUAUUAAAAUAAAUUGAUGUGUUCAUUAUCACUUAUCACCGAGACUAGUUGUUAAAACUGUAUUGUGCUGCAGAUUCCCUCGUCUCUAGUAUGCUCUAAAUGCGAACAAAAAUAAAAAUUUUAGCAAUCUCUUACAAAAUUAAAAAAAAAAUCUGAAAUGUCUUCUUUAAAAUACAAGAGCUUAUUGACAUUGUUAUGUGGAAAUCUGCAUUUUUUGAUACAAUUUCGUUAUUGCUCUAUAGUCAAAUUAAACACGUAUAUCCAUACCUAUGUAUUUCUUAUACUCUUUCUAACAAUCCUAUAAUCUCAUGAAGCAGAAAAGUAUUAUUGUAAAUAUUAUACAGAUAUUUGAAAUAGUACAUAACAGCAAGAUUAGAAAUAGAUUCAAAUCUACAAUCAAACGGGUUAAACUAGUACAGUGCUAUAAGAAAUAAAGUUUGUGAAAUACUUUAAUGCUUCAUGUAAAAACAAAUCGCCAGUACCUUACAAACAUUUUAGGAUAAUUAAAUUAAUAGUGUUUUUUUUUACAUUAUAAAAUCGGCAACGUCAUGCAGUCAGUCAGCGCUGUAGCUUGCUGCUUGCUGUUGCGUCGUCGGCGCCCGCGCCGGUUCCAGUGAGCUUCAGUCGAUAAUUAACUAAAAACAAUUCUAAAUUAUUAUAUUUUGCUAAUUCCUCUCUCGAACCGGCGCGGACGCUUCCCGUGCUCGGCACUCACGACACUUCCACGACCAAACAAAAUAACUCGAGCAAGUAUGCUAAUUAAAGUAUUUGAUAUACUUUAAUAUCCGCAUUGCCAUUGUCAAUUGUCAAGAAAAACAUAACAUUUAUUUAGGAAUAAUUUUGAUUUUUCUCGACGUAGACAUGGACACUUAUCAUAUGCACUGCUUGCAUAUUUAGGCUGCAAAAGCCAUCGUUUAGCGGCACUGAAGCGCUCAAAUAAAAAAAAAAAACAAUCUUCAAAAGUCCCCCGUGAGUGUCGA